GAAUACACAAAGGUUUUAUCUUCAGGUCUUGGGGGUGGAAAUCUGGAAUCACUCACUACCUGUGAGUUAAAGCCACUGUGUUGAUAGGAGAACCACUGUGCCCCUUAUGGGGAUUCUAGAUUGAAUCCAUGUUUUCCCUUCUGUAUGUUCUGAAUCCAUCUGUGAAGAGGCCCAGAUCACGAACUCCUGUUUUUUUCCAAAGGUAGAGACAUGGUAACCUCUCUCCUUACUGACCUUUGCCCUGCUACUUAGACUUCCUCUCAUAAGACCUUUGUGACUACAGUGGACCUCCAGCAUUACCUCUGACAACCUACCCAUCUUAGGCUCCGAAUUGACCUUCUAGAGAUGAUCUGGUAUAAUGCAUGCCCAGUGCAAGCAACAGAAAUGUAUCUAAUCUUAUUUUAAUAUUUUUUCUUUUGGCAGCUUGGGAGGCUCAAUGUCUGCGGACAGGUUCAUUCUCAUUGUUCUUGGAACUGGAAGCUUGCAUUGACUUAUGGUUCCCCCAACAUUGCCAUGGCAGCAUGCUGUUCAGGGAGUCUCCUGGCCACCACUUUUCACUUUAUACAUUGGAUGUAUCUUGCCCCUGCAGCAGGACUUCCGGAUCCUGAAAGAUGCUGUAGUCACCACUGGAAAAUUGGAAGCGAGGUCAAGUCUGGAGAAACAGUGCUGGAAAAAGACUCCAGCCUUGGUGUCGAGCUCUGUGGCUGGGAGCAAC
rnacentral:lncRNA from 1 species